UUAAGGUACAAAGGGCACGCGGGGAAUGCCUUGGCGCCAGAUGCCGAAGAAAGACGCAGCCAGCUGCGAAAAGCCGCGGGGAGGAGCAAGCAUCCCGUGAUCCGCGGAUAUCUGAAUGGGGAAACCUGCAUGGAGCAGUCCAUGCGCCCUUGAAUAGGGCGGCGACCCGGUGAAGUGAAACAUCUCAGUAACCGGAGGAAAAGAAAUCGAAAGAGAUGCCCCAAGUAGUGGUGAGCGAAAGGGGUAGAGCCUAAACCUGAUGCAUGUCAAGCCUGCAGGCGUUGUGCAUAAGGGGUAGCGGGAUCCAUGAGCGGAGGUCUGCAGACCUUCGGAGGAGUCACAAAAUGUUUUCAUAGCUGAAUCGUGUUGGGAAAACGAGCCGCAGAGGGUGAAAGCCCCGUAAGCGAAAUGGAAGCAUCUCCUUUGAUGGACACCCAAGUAGUGCGGAGCACGUGCAAUUCCGUAUGAAUCAGGGCCGACCACGGUCUAAGGCUAAAUACAUCUGGCGACCGAUAGUGAAGCAGUACCGAGAGGGAAAGGUGAAAAGCACCCCUGGCGGGGAGUGAAAUAGACCUGAAACCGCGUGCUUACAAGCAGUCGGAGCAUGUUUACAUGUGACGGCGUGCCUCUUGGAAAAUGAGCCGUCGAGUUAUGGUAUGUGGCGAGGAUAAGAACUACAAGGUUCGGAUCCGCAGGGAAACCGAGUCUGAACAGGGCGUCAGUCGCAUGCUAUAGACCCGAAGCCAUACGAUCUAUCCAUGUCCAGGUUGAAGACCGGGUAACACCGGUUGGAGGACCGAACCACAGCCUGUUGAAAAAGGCCUGGAUGAGGUGUGGAUAGGAGUGAAAAGCUAAUCGAGUAUGGUGAUAGCUGGUUCUCCCCGAAAUGCAUUGAGGUGCAGCCUCGUCAGAACGAUUUAUGGGGGGUAGAGCACUGAAUGAGUAAGGGGGCAGAUGUGCCUACCGAGCUCAAUCAAACUCCGAAUACCCAUAAAAUUGAGACGGGAGUGAGACUACGGGUGCGAAGAUUCGUGGUCGAAAGGGAAACAGCCCAGCCCGACAGCUAAGGUCCCAAAGCCUGUGCUAAGUGUUACAAGGAUGUGGGGAAGCAAAGACAGCCAGGAGGUUGGCUCAGAAGCAGCCACCCUUGAAAGAGUGCGUAACAGCUCACUGGUCGAGCGUCCCUGCGCCAAAAAUGUGGGGGGCUAAGCACAGCGCCGAAGCUUCGGAUUCAAUGGAUAAAUCCAUUGACUGGUAGGGGAGCGUUCCAUACGGGACGAAGCAGAACUGUAAGGUUUUGUGGACUGUAUGGAAGUGAGAAUGACGGCAUGAGUAGCGAAAAGUGUGCGAGAAACACACUCACCGAAUACCCAAGGAUUCCUGGGGAAGGCUCAUCCACCCAGGGUUAGGCGGGACCUAAGGCGAGGCCGAAAGGCGUAGUCGAUGGACAACAGGUAGACAAUCCUGUCCUUCGUACGAUCGUUUGACCGAUGGAGUGACGCAGAAAGCUAUGUGCGCCGGGUGAUGGAAGUCCCGGUCCAAGGAAGUAGGCUUGCAGAGGAGGCAAAUCCCCUUUGCUCUAAGGCCGAGAUCUGAUGGGGUAGUGAUAAAUCACGGGAAGGCACAAAUGCUAUGCUGCCGAGAAAAGCUUCUAGGGAGAGAGUACGAACCCGUACUGAAAACCGACACAGGUGGGUUGGCUUAGAAGGCUAAGGUGAACGGGAUAACCCUUGUUAAGGAACUCUGCAAGUUGACUCCGUAACUUCGGGAGAAGGAGUGGCUGGAGAUGUCAAUACUAUACGUAAGAAGCAUCUUUGGUUCGCAGAAACCAGGCUCAGGCGACUGUUUAACUAAAACACAGGACUCUGCUUAAGGCGCAAGCCGAAGUAUAGGGUCUGACACCUGCCCGGUGCUGGAAGGUUAAAGGGAGAGGUUAGUCGCAAGGCGAAGCUUUGAACUGAAGCCCCAGUAAACGGCGGCCGUAACUAUAACGGUCCUAAGGUAGCGAAAUUCCUUGUCGGGUAAGUUCCGACCU
rnacentral:rRNA from 1 species